GCCAAUGUGGUGUAGUGGUUUGAGUGUUGAACUAUGACUCUGGAAAGCAGGGUUCAAUUCCCUGCUCAGCCA